UCAGGACGUACGGUAAGGAUUGACGGAUGAAGGUCUCUUUCUCGAUUCCGUGGAAAGUGGUGCAUGGCGUUUUUGGUUGGUGGAUCGAUCCGUCUGGUUAAUCCGUUAACGAACGAGACCUCGGCACUCCGAAUAGCGCGGCGGACGUCGCGGCCUCCGGGCCGUCUUCCGCACGAGCUCUUAGAGGGACCGUCCCCCCGCCGGGGAAGGAGGUGCGAGGCAACGACAGGUCUGUGAUGCCCUUAGAUGUUCUGGGCCGCACGCGCAUUACACUGACGCGUCCAACGGGUGACUCCCGACCCCGAAGGGGCCGGGGAAUCCGCAAGGCGCGUCGUGAUGGGGAUUGAACGUUGCAAUUGUUGUUCACGAACGAGGAAUUCCUAGUAGGCGCGGGUCAUCAACCCCGCGCCGAUUACGUCCCUGCCCUUUGUACACACCGCCCCGUC
rnacentral:rRNA from 1 species